rnacentral:rRNA from 1 species
AGGAAAAGAAACUAACAAGGAUUCCCCUAGUAACGGCGAGUGAAGCGGGAAGAGCUCAAAUUUGAAAUCUGGUAGCCUUCGGUUGCCCGAGUUGUAAUCUAGAGAAGUGUUUUCCGUGCCGGCCCAUGUACAAGUCCCUUGGAACAGGGCGUCAUAGAGGGUGAGAAUCCCGUCCUUGACAUGGACCCCCGGUGCUUUGUGAUACACUUUCAACGAGUCGAGUUGUUUGGGAAUGCAGCUCAAAAUGGGUGGUGAAUUCCAUCUAAAGCUAAAUAUUGGCGAGAGACCGAUAGCGAACAAGUACCGUGAGGGAAAGAUGAAAAGCACUUUGGAAAGAGAGUUAAACAGUACGUGAAAUUGUUGAAAGGGAAACGAUUGAAGUCAGUCAUGCUCUUAGGAUUCAGCCGUUCUGCGGUGUAUUUCCUUUGAGUGGGGUCAACAUCAGUUUUGAUCGAUGGAUAAAGGCACGAGGAAGGUAGCACUCUCGGGUGAACUUAUAGCCUCGCGUCAUAUACAUUGAUUGGGACUGAGGAACGCAGCAUGCCUUUAUGGCCGGGAUUCGUCCACGUACAUGCUUAGGAUGUUGACAUAAUGGCUUUAAACGACCCGUC